GGCGUGCCUAAUACAUGCAAGUCGAACGAACGGAGGAAGAGCUUGCUCUUCCAAAGUUAGUGGCGGACGGGUGAGUAACACGUGGGCAACCUGCCUGUAAGUUGGGGAUAACUCCGGGAAACCGGGGCUAAUACCGAAUGAUAAAGUGUGGCGCAUGCCACGCUUUUGAAAGAUGGUUUCGGCUAUCGCUUACAGAUGGGCCCGCGGUGCAUUAGCUAGUUGGUAGGGUAAUGGCCUACCAAGGCAACGAUGCAUAGCCGACCUGAGAGGGUGAUCGGCCACACUGGGACUGAGACACGGCCCAGACUCCUACGGGAGGCAGCAGUAGGGAAUCUUCCGCAAUGGACGAAAGUCUGACGGAGCAACGCCGCGUGUAUGAAGAAGGUUUUCGGAUCGUAAAGUACUGUUGUUAGAGAAGAACAAGGAUAAGAGUAACUGCUUGUCCCUUGACGGUAUCUAACCAGAAAGCCACGGCUAACUACGUGCCAGCAGCCGCGGUAAUACGUAGGUGGCAAGCGUUGUCCGGAUUUAUUGGGCGUAAAGCGCGCGCAGGCGGUCUUUUAAGUCUGAUGUGAAAGCCCCCGGCUUAACCGGGGAGGGUCAUUGGAAACUGGAAGACUGGAGUGCAGAAGAGGAGAGUGGAAUUCCACGUGUAGCGGUGAAAUGCGUAGAUAUGUGGAGGAACACCAGUGGCGAAGGCGACUCUCUGGUCUGUAACUGACGCUGAGG
rnacentral:rRNA from 1 species